rnacentral:rRNA from 1 species
AUGAACGCUGGCGGCGUGCCUCAUCCCUGCCAGUCGCGCGAACAGACGAGGAGCUUGCUCCUCUGACGUUAGCGGCGGACGGGUGAGUAACACGUGGAUAACCUACCUAUAAGACUGGGAUAACUUCGGGAAACCGGAGCUAAUACCGGAUAAUAUAUUGAACCGCAUGGUUCAAUAGUGAAAGACGGUUUUGCUGUCACUUAUAGCUGGAUCCGCGCCGCAUUAGCUAGUUGGUAAGGUAACGGCUUACCAAGGCAACGAUGCGUAGCCGACCUGAGAGGGUGAUCGGCCACACUGGAACUGAGACACGGUCCAGACUCCUACGGGAGGCAGCAGUAGGGAAUCUUCCGCAAUGGGCGAAAGCUUGACGGAGCAACGCCGCGUGAGUGAUGAAGGUCUUCGGAUCGUAAAACUCUGUUAUUAGGGAAGAACAAAUGUGUAAGUAACUAUGCACGUCUUGACGGUACCUAAUCAGAAAGCCACGGCUAACUACGUG